AAAGAUAAAUUAUAGACACAUUAAGAUGUUUGGGUUUGAAAAAUGACAUGAAGUUUGAAAAUACUGGGCCAUUGACAAAUGGUCCAUAAUACAUGUAUUUUGUAUAUAUGCUUAUGAAUAUUAUUUUCAUUAUUUCUGGUGUAAUCAUAGAUUUAAUAAGCAUACCUUUUGAAUCAGAUUUGAAAUAAAAUAUCAACCCACUCCAGUGUUCUUGCCUGGAGAAUCCCAGGGACGGGGGAACCUGGUGGGCUGCCGUCUAUGGGGUCGCACAGAGUCGGACACGACUGAAGCGACUUAGCAGCAGCAGUAGCAGCUACUAACAGUCUGGAGAAGGAAAUGGCAACCCACUCCAGUGUUCUUGCCUGGAGAAUCCCAGGGACGGGGGAGCCUGGUGGGCUGCUGUCUCUGGGGUCGCACAGAGUCGGACACGACUGAAGCGACUUAGCAGCAGUAGCAGCAGCAUCUUUAUUCUUACUGGAUAAGUCUAUGGAUUGACUUUAUUACCCAGUAUAGAUACUGUUUUCCUUUGAGUCACCCUUCUCUCAUUAAACAGUCCUGCCUUGGUGUUCUGUGUCUUUUCCCUUUUAUUUUUAAUCACGAUUAAUCUUCACAGCUGCUUAGUUAUAUAAUAAUAUCCUGUGUUUAAACACAGGCCUACAGAUUGAAUUUCUCAGAGAGCAAGUUCAAGAUCUUUUUAAAACCACAAGAUCUCUUUUAUGGGUGCUACAAAGAUUCUUUAGGAGCGCAGCAUUAAUGAUUUGAGAAGCUAUUUCAUCUAUUUUACAUUUGUUGCUUGUUUCAGUGAUUUUUAUCCUGUGUUAAUCUUGUAAGUGGGCUAAUAAGCUGAGAAAGUUUUCAUUUAACAUACAGACACCUGCUCUAUUCCUUUCUUGAAAGCUGUUCAAUGUAGUUGUUAAAUCUGCUUGAAUCUCAGUUUGGAGGAGUGUAUAAUACUCUCUUUACUGAACGAUCAUUUUCUAAAUUAAUGUAUUUAUUUUCUUCUUAUGCAAGUAACCUACAUGUGUUCAUUACAGAAAUCUUGGGGGGUGGAAAUAAUGCAAAAGCAUAAAGGAAAAACAUUUUUAAAAUCAACUCGAGGGCUCCCCUGCUGUCUCAGUGGUAGAGUCCACCUGCUGAUGCAGGAGACAAGGGUUCGAUCCCUGAUCUGGGCAGAUCCCACGUGCUGCAGAGGAACUAAACUGGUAUACCACGAGUAUUGAGCCUGUGCUCUGGACACCAGGAGCUGCAACUGCUGAGCCCAUAUGCCACAACUGCUGAAGCCUGUGCACCCUAGACCCAGUGCUUUGCAACAAGAAAAGCUGCCACAGUGAGCAGCCCACACACUGCAACUGGAGAAAGCCCAAGUGGCAGUGAAGAUCCAGCACAGCCAAAAACAAAUCAUAAAAUCAAUUCUGAUUGUACCAGGAGGAUUCUUUACACUGAGCCACCUGGGAAGCCUCACAUUUAGGUCCAUGUGGAACGAAUUUGAAGCAGGAUGUGAGGAACAUAUCCAAGUGAACUGAUAGCAUCAGCCGUCUUGAGCAUAUACUCAAUUUCUAUCUGUAUUUGAAUCUGAAGUGUUAUUUUAAAUGUUAGAGGAGGUCACUUUUUGAAGAUGUUCUCAUAACUCCUUUUUAUUAAAAAUAAAAGGCUUGAGGAGUGAGUGGUUA
ensembl:lncRNA